rnacentral:rRNA from 1 species
UACGGAGGGUGCAAGCGUUAUCCGGAUUCACUGGGUUUAAAGGGUGCGUAGGCGGAUAUGUAAGUCCGUGGUGAAAUCUCUGGGCUUAACCCGGAAACUGCCAUGGAUACUAUGUGUCUUGAAUGUUGUUGAGGUGAGCGGAAUAUGUCAUGUAGCGGUGAAAUGCUUAGAUAUGACAUAGAACACCAAUUGCGAAGGCAGCUCACUAAGCAAAUAUUGACGCUGAGGCACGAAAGCGUGGGGAUCAAAACAGG